rnacentral:rRNA from 1 species
GCUAAUACAUGCAAGUCGAGCGAACAGACAAGGAGCUUGCUCCUUUGACGUUAGCGGCGGACGGGUGAGUAACACGUGGGUAACCUACCUAUAAGACUGGGAUAACUUCGGGAAACCGGAGCUAAUACCGGAUAAUAUUUCGAACCGCAUGGUUCGAUAGUGAAAGAUGGUUUUGCUAUCACUUAUAGAUGGACCCGCGCCGUAUUAGCUAGUUGGUAAGGUAACGGCUUACCAAGGCGACGAUACGUAGCCGACCUGAGAGGGUGAUCGGCCACACUGGAACUGAGACACGGUCCAGACUCCUACGGGAGGCAGCAGUAGGGAAUCUUCCGCAAUGGGCGAAAGCCUGACGGAGCAACGCCGCGUGAGUGAUGAAGGUCUUCGGAUCGUAAAACUCUGUUAUUAGGGAAGAACAUACGUGUAAGUAACUAUGCACGUCUUGACGGUACCUAAUCAGAAAGCCACGGCUAACUACGUGCCAGCAGCCGCGGUAAUACGUAGGUGGCAAGCGUUAUCCGGAAUUAUUGGGCGUAAAGCGCGCGUAGGCGGUUUUUUAAGUCUGAUGUGAAAGCCCACGGCUCAACCGUGGAGGGUCAUUGGAAACUGGAAAACUUGAGUGCAGAAGAGGAAAGUGGAAUUCCAUGUGUAGCGGUGAAAUGCGCAGAGAUAUGGAGGAACACCAGUGGCGAAGGCGACUUUCUGGUCUGUAACUGACGCUGAUGUGCGAAAGCGUGGGGAUCAAACAGGAUUAGAUACCCUGGUAGUCCACGCCGUAAACGAUGAGUGCUAAGUGUUAGGGGUUUCCGCCCCUUAGUGCUGCAGCUAACGCAUUAAGCACUCCGCCUGGGGAGUACGACCGCAAGGUUGAAACUCAAGGAAUUGACGGGGACCCGCACAAGCGGUGGAGCAUGUGGUAUAAUUCGAAGCAACGCGAAGCAUCUUUACGAAUCUGACAAUCCUUUGACACUCUAGAGAUAGCAGUCUUCCCCUUCGGGGGACAAAGUGACAGGUGGUGCAUGGCUGUCGUCAGCUCGUGUCGUGAGAUGUGGGGUAGUCCCGCACGAGCGCACUCCUUAGCUUAGUGCAUCAUAGUGGGCACUCUAGUGACUGCCGGUGACGAUCGGAGGAGGUGGGGAUGACGUC